rnacentral:rRNA from 1 species
UACGUAGGCAGCAAGCGUUGUUCGGAAUUACUGGGCGUAAAGAGUGUGUAGGCGGUGCUCUAAGUUCGGUGUGAAAUCUCCCGGCUCAACUGGGAGGGUGCGCUGAAAACUGGGGUGCUCGAGGGUGGGAGAGGUAAGCGGAAUUCCUGGUGUAGCGGUGAAAUGCGUAGAUAUCAGGAGGAACACCUGUGGUGUAGACAGCUUACUGGACCACUUCUGACGCUGAGACACGAAAGCUAGGGGAGCAAACAGG